rnacentral:rRNA from 1 species
UACGUAGGGGGCAAGCGUUGUCCGGAUUUAUUGGGCGUAAAGAGCGUGUAGGCGGCCUGACAGGUCUGCUGUGAAAGCUCGAGGCUCAACCUCGAGAUGUCGGCGGAAACCGUCUGGCUAGAGUCCGGAAGAGGAGAGUGGAAUUCCUGGUGUAGCGGUGAAAUGCGCAGAUAUCAGGAAGAACACCUAUGGCGAAGGCAGCUCUCUGGGACGGUACUGACGCUGAGACGCGAAAGCGUGGGGAGCGAACAGG